AGGUGGGGAGGCAGACAGCCCUGCCUGAAAUCCUGGCAUCAGACACCUGGCAGUCCUUCCUGCUCCAGGCACCUUGCAGGUCACCUUCACAGCAAAUAGGAAUCAUUCAAUCACUGCUGGAUAACAUCAAGGGCACUCUCAGAGGUUGGCAAUUGGAAUGAUUAAAAAAAUAUGAGCAAGA